GCCUACGGGGGGCAGCAGUGGGGGAUAUUGCACAAUGGGGGGAACCCUGAUGCAGCGAUGCCGCGUGGGUGAAGAAGCGCCUCGGCGCGUAAAGCCCUGUCAGCAGGGAAGAAAAUGACGGUACCUGAAGAAAAAGCCCCGGCUAACUACGUGCCAGCAGCCGCGGUAAUACGUAGGGGGCAAGCGUUAUCCGGAUUUACUGGGUGUAAAGGGGGCGCAGACGGCGAAGCAAGCCAGGAGUGAAAGCCCGGGGCCCAACCCCGGGACUGCUCUUGGAAGUGCGUGGCGGGAGUGCGGGAGGGGCG
rnacentral:rRNA from 1 species